rnacentral:rRNA from 1 species
AACAGGAUUAGAUACCCUGGUAGUCCACGCCGUAAACGAUGUCGACUUGGAGGUUGUGCCCUUGAGGCGUGGCUUCCGGAGCUAACGCGUUAAGUCGACCGCCUGGGGAGUACGGCCGCAAGGUUAAAACUCAAAUGAAUUGACGGGGGCCCGCACAAGCGGUGGAGCAUGUGGUUUAAUUCGAUGCAACGCGAAGAACCUUACCUACUCUUGACAUCCAGAGAACUUAGCAGAGAUGCUUUGGUGCCUUCGGGAACUCUGAGACAGGUGCUGCAUGGCUGUCGUCAGCUCGUGUUGUGAAAUGUUGGGUUAAGUCCCGCAACGAGCGCAACCCUUAUCCUUUGUUGCCAGCGGUUAGGCCGGGAACUCAAAGGGGACUGCCAGUGAUAAACUGGAGGAAGGUGGGGAUGACGUCAAGUCAUCAUGGCCCUUACGAGUAGGGCUACACACGUGCUACAAUGGCGCAUACAAAGAGAAGCGACCUCGCGAGAGCAAGCGGACCUCAUAAAGUGCGUCGUAGUCCGGAUUGGAGUCUGCAACUCGACUCCAUGAAGUCGGAAUCGCUGGUAAUCGUGGAUCAGAAUGCCACGGUGAAUACGUUCCCGGGCCUUGUACACACCGCCCGUCACACCAUGGGAGUGGGUUGCAAAAGAAGUAGGUAGCUUAACCUUCGGGAGGGCGCUUACCACUUUGUGAUUCAUGACUGGGGUGAAGUCGUAACAAGGUAACC